GUACAGAAUGUGUAGAAGCCUGGAUUAUAGCUUUGGAGUCUUUAUUGGAGCUAACAAUUAAGCUUAAUGAAAAUAAUGUGCUGAUUAUUAAGUAAUAUCUAUCAAAUUGUAACGUUCUUUAUAAUGACAAAAUGGAUCCUGGUAAUGCCUUAAUCGGGUUCGGGUUCGGGUUCUAUUAUUCGGGUUGGAGGAUGGAAGAUCCGGAUCCGUGUGGAUUCGAGCGAGUGGGUGUUUGCCUCCCCCGAGCCACUAUAAAAUCGGCAUCUGUUCGGAUACUACCACCGUUCGCGUGGAAAUGGAGCCGGAUCUCCUCAAAUCAUCGCUUUUCCACGCCGAUCAGCGGCUCUGCUCCGCCGAAAUCCUUCCUCCUUCGCAGGUUUGCAGAUCACGAUCUUCUCUCCUCCUCGUCUUCUUCAUCGUUAUAUGCUUUGUUGGCUCGAAGUUUCUCUUGCAAUGGUCUCCAGGUGCGGGCAAGAAUCGAAGUCGCCGUCCUCAAUUUCCUUAAGAACCUCACUGCUUCCAACCCCGCCAUAUCCGAUCUCCCCUUGAUCAGUAGGAAGUACGAUAACAGUGGGUUACGUCAUGGGCUUUUGAGUGAUGUUUCUUCGGUCUUUCUCUCUCACUCUGUCUGCACAAGGUCUCUCAUGAGAGCAAAUGAUGCGAAGGCGUUUGUUAGAGUGUGGAUGGUUAUGGCAAUGUGCUUUCGGAUUCUUGUCCAAGGGAAGCUUGCUACCCAGAGGGAGCUUUUCUAUAAGCUGCUUUGUGACGCACCGGAAUAUUUCAGGUCACAGCGUCAGGUCAACAGAACAGUACAAGAUGUUGUGGCAUUGCUCCGUUGCACUCGGCAUAGUCUAGGCAUCAUGGCAUCCAGCAGAGGUGCAGUUAUUGGACGCAUGGUGUUAGAGAUAUUACUGCCAUGGGAGUCAACCUACAGAACAACCAAAGAUUUUGAAAACAUAUCAACUGAGCCUGGUGAACAGAUUGUUGAUUGUUCCAUGAUUGGACAUGCUGGCUAUGCUAUAACUGGGGACCUUUGUACGUUGAGCAAACUUGUUCUACAUUCUGAUGCUCGAUAUAUCAUUAUAAUAGAGAAGGAUGCUAUAUUUCAGCGGUUGGCAGAAGAUCACUUCUUCAAUCAAAUACCAUGCAUAUUAAUCACUUCCAAAGGAUAUCCUGAUAUUGCCACAAGGUUUUUACUGCAUCGGAUAAGCCAGACUUUUCCAGACAUGACAAUCUUGGCUUUAAUGGAUUGGAACCCAGCUGGAUUGGCAAUACUAUGUACCUACAAGUUUGGAAGCAUAACUACUGGUUUAGAGUCAUACAGAUAUGCUUGCAAUGUUAAAUGGCUUGGACUGCGAGCAGAUGAUCUGCAGAUUAUACCUCAACAAGUGAUGAUGCAGUUGAAGCCACAUGAGAUAAAAACAGCUAAAAGCCUAAUGUCUUCCAAGUUGUUGCAGGAGAGGUACCAGGCUGAGUUGUCACUGAUGGUUGAGAGGGGCCAUCGUGCAGAAAUUGAAGCUCUGUACUGUCAUGGAUUUGAUUUCUUGGGAAAAUAUAUAGCAAAGAAGAUUGUACAGGCUGAUUACAUUUAAUGUGAUACUACUCCAGGAAGUAAGAUGGAGAAGAGCAGCAAGGUUCAUUGGAGAGGCAAACGGUAAGCCACAUUGGACCUUCAUGAACGCAGUUUCAGCGAAGAGAUUAAUGCGCAGGCUCGUGCGCGCACACGCGCGGACGCGGAGGGAGACGAGCGCCAAUUGCUGCAAAAGGAAGUAACGCCACAGCCGACAGUUACGGUGGUGGGCGAGGAGAUGCUCGUGGUUGGGAUCUAACCACAUUCGAGAUCAGACGACAGGAGCACGCAGGACUUGACAGGUUUUGUUCUUUUGUUUUGCUGGCCCGUGACGUGCCCAUGGAUGGACAGAGGGAUGGAGGGAGUGCAAAACAUGGACACGAACUCUUGCUGCUGUCGCAGCUGGGGCCUUGUCGUGCAUGAGAUUCUUGCACACCAACAUGCUUUGGUUUCUGCAACUACGAUUUAAUUGCCUGGCAUAUGCAGUAAUCUUGAUCGCCACCUGAUGAUAGAUUUGCAAGUGUUUGCCAACACUUCCCCACCUGUAAUGUUUGAAGAACUGCAACUCAGAGUUCAAAGAACAUUGAAGAGUUGAAGCACAUAGUUCUUGGUAGCCUAUCUUCACUGGCCAAGUGGGAAUUUGCACGUUUAGAGGGCAAAAUUAGUAGUACCUCCCGUCCUCUCUGCCUGUGCCUCGUGCAGUACAUAGGAGACGAGCAAACUCCAAGGACUGUACCUGCAGAUUAAUUAGCUCGAUAGUCAUGUCUCUUGUUUGCUUCUGUAUUACUCCUAUGGCUUAGGAAGUUUGCUACCAAGACACCUGCAAGGACUACAUGUAUUAAUACUUAAGGUUAUCGAAAAGGGUAUCCCUACAAGACAAAUGACCUAGUAUUACGUGGCAUCACUGUUCAAGGAACAAAUG